rnacentral:rRNA from 1 species
GAUGAACGCUGGCGGCGUGCCUAAUACAUGCAAGUCGAGCGAACAGACGAGGAGCUUGCUCCUCUGACGUUAGCGGCGGACGGGUGAGUAACACGUGGAUAACCUACCUAUAAGACUGGGAUAACUUCGGGAAACCGGAGCUAAUACCGGAUAACAUGUUGAACCGCAUGGUUCAACAGUGAAAGACGGUCUUGCUGUCACUUAUAGAUGGAUCCGCGCCGGAUUAGCUAGUUGGUAAGGUAACGGCUUACCAAGGCAACGAUGCGUAGCCGACCUGAGAGGGUGAUCGGCCACACUGGAACUGAGACACGGUCCAGACUCCUACGGGAGGCAGCAGUAGGGAAUCUUCCGCAAUGGGCGAAAGCCUGACGGAGCAACGCCGCGUGAGUGAAGAAGGUCUUCGGAUCGUAAAACUCUGUUAUUAGGGAAGAACAAAUGUGUAAGUAACUAUGCACGUCUUGACGGUACCUAAUCAGAAAGCCACGGCUAACUACGUG